CAGCAAAGCUUUUAUUUUCUCUGCAUAAUCUUGAAUUCUGAUGAUGGAGCAUGAAAACAGUAAUCUAAUUACAUUUCUUGGAAGUUUGGCAGCUACACAAAAUGUUUUUUUUUACUUACAAAAUAUAUUUGAUCAAAAAAUCAUUGGUGCCCAAUAAACAAGAAACUGCAGUAUCAUUUUAUAGUCACUUUUCAGAGCAUAACAGUUAAUCUAACUAUAGUUACGCUGGUACUGUAUAAUAUAAAAUGUGUUUUAUUCACUUUCCAGCAAGAUAGGGGUAGGGUUAUCUUCAACUUUGUAUUUUUAUGACUUUUAAGGCAUUUGUGCUGUAAACUGCAUGCGAUUCACUAUAAAAGCUUUUAUUUCCUUUCAGUUCUCAUGGUCACUACCUCCUGAAUGGUUACUGCAGCAGCAUCUAUCCUCACACAGGAUUCCAUUAUCAAAGUACUCCACAAACACGUCUCUUGAAUAUACACACUCUGGAAAGUGGUAAAUGGGCAUUUGUCAAUACAUCUGAUUGCAACCACCGCCUGAAGACGGAGAUCCUUUAGCAAGAGGCCCAAGAACUGGACACAUGAAGGAGAUUCAGGCACAGGAGGAAAAAAAAAAGGAAGAAGCUCAGGAGAAGCAGGCUACCACCAGUAGCUGAAUGGGUGGAUCUCCGAAGAGGCCUGAGUCGCUUCAAUGGCUUUUCAGUACAGAUAAGUUACAGUUUUUUCUGCUCUGGCGCAUCCUCUGAAGGCUGAGAUGAAAGACAUGAUUCACUAGACUAAGACAUAUCCUGAAUCAAGAUGCCAGCCCCCUCCUGCACCCCACGCUCCAGAGGCUGGUCUGCUGAAUGAUGGCUGUAUCUGCCCCGAGGACACUGUGAGCCCCACUCCCAGGGUGAGAGGAGAAUGAUGGCAAAAGAAUUUGGUAUAUCCUUGCUCCCACCUUCCUGUUCUUGAAAGCACAGGACAUCUGUGGGAGGAUUAUCUCUGGAGGCCUUGAUGGAGAGUACCAACCAGUCUUCAUGUGAAGACACUCUGCGUUCCUCAGCACUUACCCGUGAUCUGCAUCCUUGACUAAUCAUCUCCUUGCGGAGAUGCCAGUGGAAGUGAUUGAGACAAAGGGGCGUAGCAUCAUCUUGAUGCUGAAGAGCUUUCAGAGGAGGAGGGACAGGAUAUAUUAUGGAGCUAAAUUCUCACGGGCAAAUAAUAAGUCCUAGCACCUGCUGGCUGGAACCCACAGGCUGUGACCUUCUGUCUCCUCCAAUGUUUGUGUUUUCCUCUGCGGGAAAGAGCAACAUGGUAAAGAAUUCCUAUUAUUUCAAAUAUUUCACCAUGGUGUUAUCUAGCCUAGUCUAAACAAUGGUCCCGAUUGCUCUUGAGAGUUGUACUCUGCAGGAGAAAACGGUAACAAAUGUUAUUCCCAGUGUGUUCCCCCCCACCACGGGGACACAGAUAUUUGUGACAUGGAAUGGCAGUGUGCUACUGGAAGCAUCAAUCCAGAUAUGUUAGCUGAAAAAGAGGAAAAAAUUGCCUCCCUUGCCAAAUUCCAAACUGAUCCACCCAGAAGAAGAUCCAUGCUGUGAUGCUUCUGUCCUGGAUGUGCCAUUUGUUGAUGCAGGAAGUGGAUCACAUCCCAGGCUCUGGGAAUGUGCAGGAUGUGUCACUUGCCCCAUUGCCUUACAAACAAUAAAUCUCUAAAACCUCACUAAAAGCUGUAAUACUGCAAAAGCUGCAGCCAUGGCAAUUAUUUGCCUUCAUGUUCACUGACCCACUGAAGGAACCAGGCUGUGAACACCCUGACUCUAGUGGGAAAUGCCUGGACAGCCAGACCUGACCCAAAUGUCCAAACACAGCCAAACUUCAGCCUGAAUACACAUAACACAGUUAAUCCCGACUUAAUUUAUGGCAGCCUGAACCUGAAUGUGAACUCACCCACUGUGUUACCAGAGAUCCGAACCUGGAUUUGGCUCCCAAAUAGCUUGGGUCUAGGUCUUGAAAUUACCCAGUUGUUGGCUGCAGUCUGCUUUGGAGCUGGAGAUUUAUUUCUCCAGGAGGCAGGAAAACACAUUGUGUUGCCAAACUACUUCCAGUCUUUUCCAGAAUUACAAGUCAGGGGAUGGUGGGUAAGUCUUGUGAUUUUCAUCCUACAAUCUAAACCAGAUGGACUACUCUCGCAGCAUAAAUAUUUAAGCAAAGAAAAGGAAAAAAAAAAAAAAAAAAAAACUGGCAGAAAAAGUUCAGUUUCUUAAUUAAUUGCAUUAUUAUGACUUGCACUAUUUAACAGGAUGCGCAUAAAGCUGGUCUACAAGAUAGUUUGAUCACCUUCUUUGAUUCAUCUCAAUAAAAUCUGGAGUUUUUGUUUUCUCGGGGAUAAUGAAGUAACUGUAGAAUAAUAAAGUGGCUCUGCUUAUUGGAAACAGAAAGCUCUCAGCUUUCGGAAGAAAAGAUCCUCUCGGUGAAGCUCGUGCUGUAUUAAUCCAAAAAUACAAAUAAGUGGAGGUGAUCUGGAAAGCCUGUGUUACUGACAUCAGCCCAGCAUUUCUGCCACUGAAGAUCCUCUUCUCCGGCCUCAACUCAAAAAAUCUUUGUGGCAGAUUUGGCAUUGCCUGUAAUAAUUUAUGAACGUGAUGUGUUGACAUGUUUACUGUGUGCAUACAUUGAGCUACUUCAAUCGCUGCCUUGUCAGGAAGUGUACCCAGGAGAGAACAGAUGAAUCCAGGCACGCGGUUUGGAGGAAACACUGGGGAGCUGAAGCAAGCGCCCUUUGCUGUGACAUUUUGGCUGGGCCCCUGCUGGGCUCACAGGAGAGAUUUCCCUGGGAGAACAUGGGUGCCUGUGAAGGAAGGCACAGAAGGCCCUGGGGGAUUCACAGUGAACCAUUUAAAUGGAGGCUUUGGAGAGCGAGAACCCGAAAGGGGCUGAAAGCGCUCAGAUCUGCAGGUACCUAAUUCAGUACAUGUUGGCGAUAAAGGGGAUGUGGAACAUUUGUUUAACCGCCGUGCUUUAUUUCAGUGGUGAAAUGGCUCUUCUGUUUUAUAAACAUGGUUUAGGUUGCACAAGAGAGCUGGAUGCCUCUGUUCCCAGGUCCAUGUGGGAAUCAUGGUGAUUGUGCUGGGUAGGCUGGCUGGAGUUUGGCAAAGCUACCUCAGCCUGCCUGCAGGAAGGUGAGAGCUUGAGGCCUGGCAGCCUUCCCCAGACGGGAAGGCAGAAAGGCCACUGAUAGCUGAGAUCCAGCAGUAACCAUAACAAUACCAUCAUCUUUCUUAAAAGUCCCAGCACGUAAUUCUACUAAUGACUUUUAUUAAACAUUUAAGCCUUAGCCUUCAAGUGAUUCAUAUUUGUUACAAAACACCAUCCCAUUAACACAAAGUACAAGCCGAAACAAAGUUAAUGAGCCCUAAUGCUUGCCGGAUAAUACGAAGUUUGAGUGAUACUAACAAAAAUAAAAUUAGGAAGAAAUCUACUUUCAUUGUCCACCAGAGAAUUUGAGUUUUAUCCUUCUGGUUCAUAAAAACAAGUCCAUUGCUCAAGUGGCUAUUACGCUCUUAUUAAAGUUGUUCCAAAACACAUAGAUGUGCGUAAUUAAGUGCCCCUCUGUUACAAGAGGGCCUGUCUGACAGUCUACAGGGAAUGCAAGGGGCCUUAAUUCAUGACAUCAAAGAGAAUGGCAUUACCCUCAUACUUCACUAUGUUGGCUGGUGUUGGUCCCACAUGGUGCAGUGCCCAGGACACAGCACUGUCAGCUGGAGCUGGGCUCUGGGGACCUGGAGGCAACAAGAGUGUGGCCUGAAAUGUACAUUAAUAUUUGUCUUAUGGAAAUCUUCAACAGAACUUAGGUCAGGCAUCCAAAGCACUGAGGAACUACAAAAAGUCAUUACAAAAUGUCAGGAAGUGUAGACUGAGAUAUUUUUAAUUGUCUGUUUUGGCAGUCAGAUACUAACGGCAAAUGGGGAAAUGGAGUAAAAAUCACUGAUAUCUCCCUACCCUUGAAAGUACGUGAUGUUGCUCAAAGCUCUGCCAGUUUUAUCUGUGUGUCCCAGUGAAGAGACUAAACACAAGAAACAGAAAGGGGCAGC
ensembl:lncRNA